AUUGAACGCUGGCGGCAUGCCUUACACAUGCAAGUCGAACGGCAGCACGGGUGCUUGCCCCUGGUGGCGAGUGGCGAACGGGUGAGUAAUACAUCGGAACAUGUCCUGUAGUGGGGGAUAGCCCGGCGAAAGCCGGAUUAAUACCGCAUACGAUCUACGGAUGAAAGCGGGGGAUCUUCGGACCUCGCGCUAUAGGGUUGGCCGAUGGCUGAUUAGCUAGUUGGUGGGGUAAAGGCCUACCAAGGCGACGAUCAGUAGCUGGUCUGAGAGGACGACCAGCCACACUGGGACUGAGACACGGCCCAGACUCCUACGGGAGGCAGCAGUGGGGAAUUUUGGACAAUGGGCGAAAGCCUGAUCCAGCAAUGCCGCGUGUGUGAAGAAGGCCUUCGGGUUGUAAAGCACUUUUGUCCGGAAAGAAAUCCUUGGCUCUAAUACAGUCGGGGGAUGACGGUACCGGAAGAAUAAGCACCGGCUAACUACGUG
rnacentral:rRNA from 1 species